GUAAUGAUAGCUCAGUGUUUAGAGUACUGGACUGUCAUUUAGAAGAUCCAGGGUUCGAAUCCCAUUUUCAUA